GAAUUCCUGUAGUUGAAGAGUAAGAUUUUGUACGGUACAUUUUUAAUGACAGCUUGGAUAUUGGAAUACUCAACUUUUGUUGUAGCCAAUGAGAGGGAUAUGCCACUAAUGGUAUCUAAAUCAUACAGUACGUACUUUAGGAUGGGGACAAAAAUCACAACGAUUUAUUUAUUUAUUUACUUAGUGUAUGUGAGUGCACUGUUGGUGUCUUCAGACACACCAGAAGAUGACUUCAGAUCCGAUUACAUAUGGGUUGUGAGCCACCAUGUGGUUGCUGGGAUUUGAACUCUGGACCUCUGGAAGAGCAGUCAGUGCUUGUAACUCUGAGCCAUCUUUCUAGCCCCCCCCCCCCCCCCCCGCUAUCUUUUAGAAAUGUAAUUUGCCAUACUUUGAGCAAUGUUCUUGAUGUCAUUAGGAUAUUUCACAGAUAACUUCACUUAAGAUAAUUAGAGCAAA
rnacentral:lncRNA from 1 species